rnacentral:rRNA from 1 species
UACGAAGGGUGCAAGCGUUACUCGGAAUUACUGGGCGUAAAGCGUGCGUAGGUGGUGAGUUAAGUCUGUCGUGAAAGCCCCGGGCUCAACCUGGGAAUGGCGAUGGAUACUGGCUCGCUAGAGUGCGGUAGAGGAGAGUGGAAUUCCCGGUGUAGCAGUGAAAUGCGUAGAGAUCGGGAGGAACACCAGUGGCGAAAGCGGCUACCUGGCCUAAUACUGACACUGAGGCACGAAGGCUAGGGGAGCGAACGGG